UAUAGCAGCCAUAUCACCCUGAAACUCAGAACUGACAACCCACUGAAGCUAAGCAGGUGUGAGCCUGGCCAGUACCUGGAUGGGAGACCUCCUGGUAAACUAAAGUUGCUGCUGGAA
rnacentral:rRNA from 1 species